GACGAACGCUGGCGGCGUGCUUAACACAUGCAAGUCGAACGGAAAGGCCCUGCUUUUGUGGGGUGCUCGAGUGGCGAACGGGUGAGUAACACGUGAGUAACCUGCCCUUGACUUUGGGAUAACUUCAGGAAACUGGGGCUAAUACCGGAUAGGAGCUCCUGCUGCAUGGUGGGGGUUGGAAAGUUUCGGCGGUUGGGGAUGGACUCGCGGCUUAUCAGUUUGUUGGUGGGGUAGUGGCUUACCAAGGCUUUGACGGGUAGCCGGCCUGAGAGGGUGACCGGCCACAUUGGGACUGAGAGACGGCCCAGACUCCUACGGGAGGCAGGAGUGGGAAAUAUUGCACAAUGGGCGGGAGCCUGAUGCAGAAACGCCGCGUGCGGGAUGACGGCCUUCGGGUUGUAAACCGCUUUCGCCUGUGACGAAGCGUGAGUGACGGUAAUGGGUAAAGAAGCACCGGCUAACUACGUG
rnacentral:rRNA from 1 species